CUCAUGUGCUGCCCAGGCUGGUCUCGAACUCCUGGACUCAAGCCAUCCGCGCGACCUCCCAAAGUACUUGUUACUUCAGCUCACCCAAUUCCAUAGAACCAGAGGGUGCAGACGAUGCAGAUCUCUGAGCAGAUGAGGGCAGAGAGCAGGAGCCCGCACUCGGUCCAGAGGCCAGACUGUGGAGCUGUGCAAGAGGCGGAGGCUACGCCCAUGACAGCAGAUGGGUCCUCGUAGUCACACAGAAAACCGGCAUGCUGGAUUUGUCCUGGUGAUGAGGCUCUGGAGCAGCAGUUGAAUGGAGUCAUUCCCGUCCUCCUUAACCACAUCCCCAAGGGCCACUCACCUUCUUCCCAGGGCACAGACCCCUGGCAAAGCCCACAUGUACCCUUGGAGAAUGCUUGGAGGAAAACAUGGCAUGUGCUGGUUUCAGUGUUGUGGGGCCCUUCCCCCAGCAUCAGCCUCCUCUUCCAGCGAAGACGCUGGUCUGCAGAUUGGUUUCACCUGGAUGGUGGGUGAGGGGCCGACUGUACCUCGUGAGGACCAAGCUCUUCCCAGGUUCUGUUAAUGCACUGCUCGAGGCAACGUUUUGAGACCCAUCAGCUCCUAUUAGGUUUGUGUCCCCCAGAAUUCGUAUGCGGAAGCUGUAACCCCCAAUAUGGCCAUAUUUGGAAAUGGGACUUCUGAAGAAGUAAUUAAGGUUAAAGUCAGUCACAAGGGUGGGGUCCUGAUCCGACAGGACAUGCGUCCGUAAAAUAAGAGACACCAGAGAGCUCCCUCUCCCAGUCAGUCAUGUCGGCACACGUGAGAAGGCAG